UUAAUUGAAGCCAAAUAGAGGCUUAUUAUUGUUAAUAAUAAAAUUGAAUUUUAUUUCCAGUUAAA
rnacentral:tRNA from 1 species